UAAACGCAGCACUUUCUCUAUGUGUGACGUUAUUGCGCCCUCUACUGCGCAUGCGGGACACGUUCAGGUCGUUUACAGUUCACACUGGAGAACACGUACAGAUUGCAUAUAUUUGCAAGUGUGAAAGACCACGGCAAAAACUGUCAAAUUUGACAAAAAAUCAGAAUUGGCUCCAUCCAGGCUGCAGGGGUAAUGUAGCCUAAGAAGAGGUACACUAAAAGUUAGAAUAUAUUGAAAUAGUCAACCAAACUUUGAAUUAAAACAACAAAAGUCAAAUGUAAAGCUAAUAGUUUAUAGCUAAAUGAAAAUAAUUGUGCUAUUUAUUGCAGAACUCGAUGUGUAAAGAAGAAAUUUCUUCCUUAUUUUUAAAAUAUUUUCUUUUCAUUUUUUUUUACAUUUUAAAAAAGUCUUCUAUCUCUGGUAAUAUCCCCAUAUUUGUGUGAUGUAAAAAAAAAAUUAGUCCAACAUUCAUUGUUCAUACCAUAUAGCAUAUUGAGCUGAAAAACAAACAAAAUGUUUAGCUUAGUUAAUUCAGUCUAAAACACAGUAGUUGUUUUCAAAGUACUC